GACGAACGCUGGCGGCGUGCCUAAUACAUGCAAGUGGGACGCAAGGAAACACACUGUGCUUGCACACCGUGUUUUCUUGAGUCGCGAACGGGUGAGUAACGCGUAGGUAACCUGCCUAUUAGCGGGGGAUAACUAUUGGAAACGAUAGCUAAUACCGCAUAAUAUUCAUUAUUGCAUGAUAAUUGAUUGAAAGAUGCAAGCGCAUCACUAGUAGAUGGACCUGCGUUGUAUUAGCUAGUUGGUAAGGUAAGAGCUUACCAAGGCGACGAUACAUAGCCGACCUGAGAGGGUGAUCGGCCACACUGGGACUGGGACACGGCCCAUACUCCUACGGGAGGCAGCAGUAGGGAAUCUUCGGCAAUGGACGAAAGUCUGACCGAGCAACGCCGCGGGAGUGAAGAAGGUUUUCGGAUCGUAAAGCUCUGUUGUAAGUCAAGAACGUGUGUGAGAGUGGAAAGUUCACACAGUGACGGUAGCUGACCAGAAAGGGACGGCUAACUACGUG
rnacentral:rRNA from 1 species